CCAAGGAGUUUAGCGUGUACGCGAGUCAUUGAGUGGCAAAACUCAAAGGCGAAAUGAAAGUGAAGGGAACUUUACGUUUCUGAGGGAAGAUGAGACGGUUUCUUUAUAGAGCCUCUCCGCACUCCCCGGGGCGUCUCUAUCUCAUUGCGAGAGGAGGCGCACCUAUAGCGUACACGCUGAUACCCGAAAGAUGGUGAACUAUGCCUGGCCAGGACGAAGCCAGGGGAAACCCUGGUGGAGGUCCGCAGCGAUUCUGACGUGCAAAUCGAUCGUCGGAGCUGGGUUUAGGGGCGAAAGACCAAUCGAACCAUCUAGUAGCUGGUUCCCUCUGAAGUUUCCCUCAGGAUAGCUUGCGCUCGGACGGAACGAGUCUCAUCCGGUAGAGCGAAUGAUUAGAGGCCUUGGGGUCGAAACGACCUCAACCUAUUCUCAAACUCCAAAUAGAUGAGAACCCUGGCUUUCUUAAAUUAUGAAGCCCACGGGGUUUCCGGAUCAGAGU
rnacentral:rRNA from 1 species